AUUGAACGCUGGCGGAAUGCUUUACACAUGCAAGUCGAACGGCAGCACGGGGGCAACCCUGGUGGCGAGUGGCGAACGGGUGAGUAAUACAUCGGAACGUGCCCAGUCGUGGGGGAUAACGUAGCGAAAGUUACGCUAAUACCGCAUACGAUCUACGGAUGAAAGCGGGGGACCGUAAGGCCUCGCGCGAUUGGAGCGGCCGAUGUCAGAUUAGGUAGUUGGUGAGGGAAAGGCUCACCAAGCCGACGAUCUGUAGCUGGUCUGAGAGGACGACCAGCCACACUGGGACUGAGACACGGCCCAGACUCCUACGGGAGGCAGCAGUGGGGAAUUUUGGACAAUGGGCGCAAGCCUGAUCCAGCCAUUCCGCGUGCAGGACGAAGGCCUUCGGGUUGUAAACUGCUUUUGUACGGAACGAAAAGGCUCUGGUUAAUACCUGGGGCUCAUGACAGUACCGUAAGAAUAAGCACCGGCUAACUACGUGCCAGCCGCCGCAGUAG
rnacentral:rRNA from 1 species